GUGCAAAUGAUGCAAACUGUUUGUGUCUGAUGAAAUGUGACGCAUUCAAAGGAACCACUGAUGCCA